CCUGGCAUCGUCUAGUGGUUAGGACACCAGGUUCUGAUCCUGGUAACCUGGGUUCAAACCCCAGUGCCAGGU
rnacentral:tRNA from 1 species